rnacentral:rRNA from 1 species
CCUACGGGAGGCUGCAGUGGGGGAUAUUGCACAAUGGGGGGAACCCUGAUGCAGCGACGCCGCGUGAGUGAAGGAGCGUUUCGGCGCGUAAAGCCCUAUCGGCAGGGAAGAAGAAGGACGGUACUUGACUAAGAAGCCCCGGCUAACUACGUCCCAGCAGCCGCGGUAAUACGUAGGGGGCAAGCGUUAUCCGGAUUUACUGGGUGUAAAGGGGGCGCAGCCGGCAGCGUAAGCCAGGAGUGAAGGCCCGGGGCACAACCCCGGGACUGCUUUUGGAACUGGGCGGCUGGAGUGCGGGAGGGGCAGGCGGAAUUCGUGGUGUAGCGGUGAAAUGCGUAGAUAUCAGGAGGAACACCGGUGGCGAAGGCGGCCUGCUGGACUGCGACUGACGUUGAGGCCCGAAAGCGUGGGGAGCAAACAGGAUUAGAUACCCGAGUAGUC